GGGGAGAUAGCGAAGUGGNUAAACGCAUCAGACUGUAAAUCUGACACCUCAGGUUUCGGCGGUUCGAAUCCGUCUCUCCCCACCA
rnacentral:tRNA from 1 species